rnacentral:rRNA from 1 species
GAUGAACGCUGGCGGCAUGCUUUACACAUGCAAGUCGAACGGUAACAGGCCGCAGGGUGCUGACGAGUGGCGAACGGGUGAGUAAUGCAUCGGAACGUGCCCAGUCGUGGGGGAUAACGCAGCGAAAGCUGUGCUAAUACCGCAUACGAUCUAUGGAUGAAAGCGGGGGACCGUAAGGCCUCGCGCGAUUGGAGCGGCCGAUGUCAGAUUAGGUAGUUGGUGGGGGAAAGGCCUACCAAGCCAACGAUCUGUAGCUGGUCUGAGAGGACGACCAGCCACACUGGGACUGAGACACGGCCCAGACUCCUACGGGAGGCAGCAGUGGGGAAUUUUGGACAAUGGGCGCAAGCCUGAUCCAGCAAUGCCGCGUGCAGGAAGAAGGCCUUCGGGUUGUAAACUGCUUUUGUACGGAACGAAACGGUCUGGGUUAAUACCCUGGGCUAAUGACGGUACCGUAAGAAUAAGCACCGGCUAACUACGUGCCAGCCGCCGCAGUAAAAC